UUGCGACGUGCUCACAAUAACAGACAGCAGCCCCCGGCCUCCGGUGCUUCGCUGCCUCGACAUGCCGCCGAAAAUCAAGACUUUCAGUGGACGUUCAUAUUAUGUCCGGGAGAUUGACCUCGUCGACGGCUUCAUCGUCUACAUCGAGUUGCAGAUACGUGACCUUGCGCCAGACACACCUACAGAUGAAUAUGUUUGGAUGGCCAGCACAUGCAAAUUCAAGAUCGACUCAUCUUUGCCGUUUUCAUCUAUCCAAUGGCAGCGGGGAUGCAAGUUAGGCUCCUCUGAGGUCAACAAAUCCAUGCGUGAUAAGCUUAAACUUCGUGAUGCCGAAACAAUCUGCAAGAUAGGCCUGCCCGUCCUGAGCCUUCAUGAGGAUGGCAUUGUUUACAUCCUCACCACCCUUUUCCGCGAGAAGAGGCACACCAAGUCAUGGGUGCUUGCCAUUGACAUGAAAAAGAAGAUGGUGCAGGAGCUGGACGAGUUCGAGAACAACCGAAAAGUCUACUUAUUCGGGGGCUUCUUGAUUCCAACUAGGAUCACCAAAUAUCUCCAACUUGAUCCAGGUAAUUCAAAGUCCCUGUUGCCUAACCAGCUGUCGUUAGGAACUGGUAUUGUUUAUUCUUGGGGUUUAAUUUCAGAUUUUAAACGAGGACCCACCGGGGAAGGUCCUGAUUGAGCUAGAGUUCACUUAUAGUCUCUACAUUGUUAUUAUACCUUUUCUUUCUUCUCCAUAGGGAUAGGUAAAGUAAGGGUUACUAGUUAGAAGCCCGUGCGUUGCUACGGAACAAAAAAAAGUUCAACAGACAAUAAAUAUGGUCCUACGUAUAAACAAAAUCAUUUAGUCCCUCUAGUCUGAUCAAGAUUACCAUCUCCUUACUAAGCUUCUAAUUUUUUUUAAAUUUCCUAUAUGUACGUAGCACUGUUUCGAUAGUUGUGUAAUGACUGAUGAAAUGGACAAAACCCAAACUGCUAUUCGGGGCCUAUAUUCUUGGGAUGGUUUACACUUAAUAGUGGCACCUACAUAUAUAUACUCAAAAGUGUUACAUCUAUGCUACUAUUAUAUUGUUAGCCCCCAUCUUUGUAUUAAACUUUUAAAUCUCCUUCCUGAUAUAUACUUGGCCCUACCUUUGAUCUAGUUAAUCAUAUGAUGGCAUCCUAUCCUAAAAAUCCAGAUUUUCUCCAAAGUAUUAUGUAAAUCAGGUAACAGAGGUAAAGAAUCUGAAACUGAACAAGGACCAAUUUAUAAUAAACUGAUGUUCCCCUUUUCCCCUCCCAACAUUUCUUCACAACCAUGCAUCAGAUCAGCACAGAAGUAAAUCAGUAAUCAUUUUUAUUCAAAAAAUUUGUGCCAUGCCGUACAACAUUUCACCUAAUUGGUUGGGAUGUCUUAAACUGAUUAGAGAUGGAUUUUGGUCACCUAAGCUCCCUGAAUUUUCCUUUUUGAUGCCAUGAAGUACAAGGUUUCACCUGAUUGGCUGGGGAUGUCUUAAACUGAUUGGAGAUGGAUUUUGGUCGCCUAAGCUCCCUGAAAUUUCUCCCCUUGGGAUCUGGUAGUCUAAACAAUAACCUAGGUCCUUGCAAAUUUCUCCCCUUGGGAUUUUGGUCUUCUAGGUUCCAUAGGGAUAGGCAGAGUAAGGGUUAUUUGGGGCUGCCUGCUACGGACUAGUUGUUUAGGAAUCAUUUUCUUUUGCUAAACUAAAGACAUGUUUUUUGUACUGUAGAUACAACAAAGCAAAACCACAAGCGACAAAAGAUGAUGCUGCAACGACACUCGUGCGUGGACCUGCCCGGAGUCUCCAUUGAGUCCCAUUCAGAUAUGGAGUUAGAUGAUGAUGAGGAGGAGGAAGAAGAAGAGGAGGAAGACAAUGAGCCAUCCCUGCCAGAGCCAGAAGCACAAACCCCAGAGGAGCUAGCACUUGAAUUGGCAUGCAAGCCGUGGCUUCUUAACUUAGAGGAGUUGGUACUGGAGAAGUCAGGCAAGUCGUGGAACGAGAUACUCCAAAGCCGAGGCAGUGCAGUUCCCGUUUCGGAGGGAGAAGUGGAGGACGUGGAGGAGGCGAGCAAGAAGCCACGGACAUAUGAUUGGAUUGUCUGAUGCCUUUUGGCUGCUUGACAUUUGUGCACACUUAGAUUAUCCUGUGUCUUUUGUUUAGUAAGAGUAUGCUAACGGAUUCACUUGGGUGUCGCUUAAGAUUAAUGUUAGCUAUGGGGUCUCAUCACUAGCACCUGUUUUGAACUCUGCGUGUCAUCUGCUUGUCAGUUGUUCGUGCUUUGUCAUUGCUCAAACCUGGUGGAUUAGGUUUUAUUCAGCCUUGUUCAUUUCCUGAAAUUAUGACCAACUCAUUAAGCCUGAAAUUUAAUCCUUUGUUUGUGCAGAAUUUUCUGCUGCAAUCAAGAUAUUCGAUAGAAAAUAAACAUACUACCCGCAUGAUUGUUACUGUUGUGCUAUUCUGAUAACUAGUGGCUGGGGCGCGCCUCCUAGGGCGGUACUGAGUGCACUGACAACACUUUUCAGAAAACUCUCCGCGAAUAGAAGGAUCAACCAUCUUUGACAGAGAAUCAAAGUCAUGAAGCUGACAAUCGGCCCAUCUAACAAAAUGUUGCUCAACACGCGGGCGAGAACUGCAUAUUUCAACAAAAAUGUAGGCACAUGAGGAAGUACAUUCACAUUUUUGUGAAGAUGUGUGAUCUAAAACAGUUACAGAGAAGGUCCUGAUUAAGCACUGCGAAUUACAUCGAAUCACUCACCUGUCAUAUGGUUUACGGCCAGCGAGAAGUUCUAGCAUUACCACAACCAAAACGGUGAACAUCACUUCGAUACGGUGGAACGGUUUUGGUGUGCCUCUGUUGGAAGGAACGACCAACAAAACAAAGGAAUGUUGAGGACUCUUGCCCAGGUUUGAUUUCUGCUCAUUCUUACAGUUUAGUUUCUCCACAUCUUUUAGGAUUCUUGCCUAGGUUUGAUGAUACCAUGGAAAUUUUGGCCGACUAAAUUUUAUUUUUAGCCGUGCACAAACUAUUUCAUGUAAUUUUUGUGCACAAAAUGGAUAUUCGGAGAAAAUGAUUAUUCUUCUUUUUACUAAUCACCCCUGUUUGAUCAUAGCUUAACGAAUUUCCCUUUUUUGUAGAAGUAUAGCCAGCUACAAAAUGCUGAUGCAAAUGAUAUCCAUGGACCUUCACAAGCUCGUCCUAUAUUUUAUUUUUCAAGUUUGUAAUUGUUUUCAUUUUGGAAAAAGUUCAUCUUUGGCCGAAAUGCCAAACAGACUCAACUUUCAGAAUGUCCCAAUCUGGCCCCUCAACUUUCCGUUUGCUCUGCAAUCAACUAAAUUAUGCAAUGGUGCAAUCGAACAUAUUUGAGCCAUCCGAUGUGCAUCCUCUGGCAAUGACUCACGCACGGAGCUCCCACCUUUUUUUUUUGCAGGUGAAGCUCCCACCUCUGGUUGGAUACAUCUUUGCAAACACCACCCCGCGAUCAGCCUUCAUUUUUCAAAAACGCCCCUGGAAACAAUGACCUCCCCCGAUCUUCUUCUCUCAAUAGAUGGAUCUCAGUUUUGGCGAUCCUCGCUGCUAUUGCUGCCGGCCGGCCAGCCACAAGUUUCCCGGAAAUAAUCCCCAUAUCAGAACGAGAACACAUGGAGUACUCGUUCAUAUUGUUCGAAUGAACGCGUUCAUUUUCAAUGUCCAUUGGAAGUUGAGCAUCCCCACCACUAGGUCCACUACUAAUCAAAAACAUUUCUCAACAAGUGAACCGACAGGGCCAUAACCUUGCUGAAAUGUCUCUAACAAACCACCAUUCUAUCUGAUUCCUACUCAGAUCGAGUACUUGUGAUUGUGACCACCUGGGAUGAAUGAAACAUAAAGGAAGCCAACAAGACACCGAUUAGCUCUAUCUGUAGAAAAGGAAUGUUUCGUAUAAGCUAUAUAUCUUGAGGAAUAUGGAAUGCCCAAAAUAAAUGCCACGAACCUUGUUGACUUUAUUUUAUUUUUACAUAAUGGAAAAGGAUUCAUUACCAUAGUUUCCAACUUUCCAUAAGAAACAAGCACUGCUAAAUGCUGAUUAACAUGUCAGUACUAACACGCUGUGGUAAAUGCAGUUGUCGUAGCCCAACUUCAACACUAUAUACUAAUAACACAUAAUAAUAGUAUAGUCUGUGCCCAGAGCUAGUUGAGGGAGGGAUUGUCAGCCUGCAAUAUGCAGAUGAUACUUUUUUUCCCAGAAUGAAUUCGCCCGACACGACGAAUCCCGCCCCCCAUGUCUUUCUUUCUCAUUGAAUGAACCACUGCAUGGGACGCCCUAUGCCUAUGAAUUCAAUGAUUUAAGGGCCCUGGGGGGAAACUUCGGAAAGAAAGCCUACUGGUUGGUCUGGUUGUCCCCCCGACGGUGCCCGGGCGGUCCUCGGUUCAAUCUUGCCGAUUCUACCUAGACAUGGCUCAAAACGAAAGGGUAAGGCCAAGUGUUCUUAAAACAAAACUCUCGGUGCACACUCCGGAGCACGGUCUUCUGCUUUUUGUGGCAGAUGGCACUAGGAAAGCCACCAACCUUAAGUGGAUCCUCACCUGUUUUGAGCAGUCAUCGGGGACGAGAAUAAACUAUCACAAGAGUGAGCUCAUUGCAGUUGGCAUGGAAGAUGUAGAGAUUAGACCUUUUAUUGACAUUUUCUAAUGUGCAGAGGGGCAUUUCCCCGGUAAGUAUUUGGGGAUUCCCUUGCACUUUGAGAGCUUAAAAAGAGCUGACUUGCAAUCUGUGGUAGACAAAUUGAUGAAUAUGAUUGCUGGCUGAAGGGGGAAAUUGUUGUCAAGUGGGGGUAGACUUGCUUUGAUCAAAACUGAACAAAUCCAACGUGCAACAUGAUAUGAAUCCGUAUCUAACACUAACAUCACCCGAGAUGAAAAAUCAAACUCGGUUUACGACCUAGUGAAUACGACUAGACUACAAACUAAACUGUAUACUGACAUGCGGACCCAGCCCCACCGGUCAGUGACUCGCUGGUCGGCUCUGCUCCUCGAUGAACACUUCCUCAGGUCAGCCCCUGCACAGGCCAUCGGGUACCGCGACACAUACGAUGGAUGGGUCUUGGGCACAUACGGUAGAUGGGUCUUGGGCUCUUGGCAAACUGCCCUGAGGGCCACCGAGCCCAGAGCAGGGGCCCGACCAAUUUUCCUAGCCACCCCCCGCCUGUGGCCCAUUUUCUCUCCUCAGUCCCCAAUCCUCACUUUCGCUCUCCAUAGGGGGGAACCCGGCCGGACUGCCGGCGCAAAUCCGAUCUCGAUUCCAGUUCCGAUUCCACAAAAAUCAAAUCGAGUCUAGGCUGUAGAGGAACUUGAGAUGAAGGAUCUCAAGUUCCGAUUCCUUCCGCCGCAUUACGACUCCGGCGACGCAAGGCCAUGCUUUUCGCUGCUAGAAAAGCACGCCUACCUCGUCCGCCGCCAAAACGCCACAACCGCCGCCCUCGACCUCGACAGCGGACGGAUCCAGGCCACCUUCUGCGCCGCCCACCCGCCACGCGCAUCCUACUUGUGCAUCCAUGCCACCGGCUUGGGUCGCACUAAGCUCCGCGCCGAGCCCCAGAUCUUGGCCACGGAGGGGGCCCUCGCCGUCAUCCGCGUCGUCGUCAACCGUCGCAAGUCGUUCGUGGAGGUGGAGUACUUCGUCUACCACGCCGGCAGCAGCUCCUCCGAGGGACGCCGGCCGCCGUCGCUCAAGCGCAUCCCGAACCCCGCACCCUACUUUUUCUUCAACGAAAAUACGGUUGCCAUCGUGCGCCACUGCCCUCGUCAAGCCAGCACCCGGCGUCGCCCCGGCGGCCUCAGUGCCUGCGCCCUGCGCCCCAACCGACGAGACAGCAAGGAGGAGGAGGAUCAUGACUGCGGCGACUGCAACUACAUCAUCGCGGCACUCCGCAACGACGAUUCCAACACCAGGGCACCCUACCAGCUCUGCCGGUACCACUCCAAGACUGAAACUUGGAGCCCUCCCGAGCCAAUGGAAACCGAGUGGGAGCACGGACCUUACCCUUCCGGUUCCUCCUGCAAGGCCAUUACCAUCGGAGGAGAGCAAGGCACAGUGGCCUGGGUCGCUCUGAACAAGGGCGGCAGGGGUAUCAUCUUUUGCGACGUGCUCACAAUAACAGACAGCAGCCCCCGGCCUCCGGUGCUUCGCUGCCUCGACAUGCCGCCGAAAAUCAAAACUUUCAGUGGACGUUCAUAUUAUGUCCGGGAGAUUGACCUCGUCGACGGCUUCAUCGUCUACAUCGAGUUGCAGAUACGUGACCUUGCGCCAGACACACCUACAGAUGAAUAUGUUUGGAUGGCCAGCACAUGGAAAUUCAAGAUCGACUCAUCUUUGCCGUUUUCAUCUAUCCAAUGGCAGCGGGGAUGCAAGUUAGGCUCCUCUGAGAUCAACAAAUCCAUGCGUGAUAAGCUUAAACUUCGUGAUGCCGAAACAAUCUGCAAGAUAGGCCUGCCCGUCCUGAGCCUUCAUGAGGAUGGCAUUGUUUACAUCCUCACCACCCUUUUCCGCGAGAAGAGGCACACCAAGUCAUGGGUGCUUGCCAUUGACAUGAAAAAGAAGAUGGUGCAGGAGCUGGACGAGUUCGAGAACAACCGAAAAGUCUACUUAUUCGGGGGCUUCUUGAUUCCAACUAGGAUCACCAAAUAUCUCCAACUUGAUCCAGGUAAUUCAAAGUCCCUGUUGCCUAACCAGCUGUCGUUAGGAACUGGUAUUGUUUAUUCUUGGGGUUUAAUUUCAGAUUUUAAACGAGGACCCACCGGGGAAGGUCCUGAUUGAGCUAGAGUUCACUUAUAGUCUCUACAUUGUUAUUAUACCUUUUCUUUCUUCUCCAUAGGGAUAGGUAAAGUAAGGGUUACUAGUUAGAAGCCCGUGCGUUGCUACGGAACAAAAAAAGUUCAACAGACAAUAAAUAUGGUCCUACGUAUAAACAAAAUCAUUUAGUCCCUCUAGUCUGAUCAAGAUUACCAUCUCCUUACUAAGCUUCUAAUUUUUUUUAAAUUUCCUAUAUGUACGUAGCACUGUUUCGAUAGUUGUGUAAUGACUGAUGAAAUGGACAAAACCCAAACUGCUAUUCGGGGCCUAUAUUCUUGGGAUGGUUUACACUUAAUAGUGGCACCUACAUAUAUAUACUCAAAAGUGUUACAUCUAUGCUACUAUUAUAUUGUUAGCCCCCAUCUUUGUAUUUCACUUUUAAAUCUCCUUCCUGAUAUAUACUUGGCCCUACCUUUGAUCUAGUUCAUCCUAUGAUGGCAUCCUAUCCUAAAAAUCCAGAUUUUCUCCAAAGUAUUAUGUAAAUCCGGUAACAGAGGUAAAGAAUCUGAAACUGAAUAACGACCAAUUUAUAAUAAACUGAUGUUCCCCUUUUCCCCUCCCAACAUUUCUUCACAGCCAUGCAUCAGAUCAGCACAGAAGUAAAUCAGUAAUCAUUUUUAUUCAAAAAAAUUGUGCCAUGCCGUACAACAUUUCACCUAAUUGGUUGGGAUGUCUUAAACUGAUUAGAGAUGGAUUUUGGUCACCUAAGCUCCCUGAAUUUUCUUUUUUGAUGCCAUGAAGUACAAGGUUUCACCUGAUUGGCUGGGGAUGUCUUAAACUGAUUGGAGAUGGAUUUUGGUCGCCUAAGCUCCCUGAAAUUUCUCCCCUUGGGAUCUGGUAGUCUAAACAAUAACCUAGGUCCUUGCAAAUUUCUCCCCUUGGGAUUUUGGUCUUCUAGGUUCCAUAGGGAUAGGCAAAGUAAGGGUUAUUUGGGGCUGCCUGCUACGGACUAGUUGUUUAGGAAUCAUUUUCUUUUGCUAAACUAAAGACAUGUUUUUUGUACUGUAGAUACAACAAAGCAAAACCACAAGCGACAAAAGAUGAUGCUGCAACGACACUCGUGCGUGGACCUGCCCGGAGUCGCCAUUGAGUCCCAUUCAGAUAUGGAGUUAGAUGAUGAUGAGGAGGAGGAAGAAGAAGAGGAGGAAGACAAUGAGGAGCUAGCACUGGAAUUGGCAUGCAAGCCGUGGCUUCUUAACUUAGAGGAGUUGGUACUGGAGAAGUCAGGCAAGUCGUGGAACGAGAUACUCCAAAGCCGAGGCAGUGCAGUUCCCGUUUCGGAGGGAGAAGUGGAGGACGUGGAGGAGGCGAGCAAGAAGCCACGGACAUAUGAUUGGACUAUCUGAUGCCUUUUGGCUGCUUGACAUUUGUGCACACUUAGAUUAUCCUGUGUCUUUUGUUUAGCAAGAUGCUAACGGAUUCACUUGGGUGUCGCUUAAGAUUAAUGUUAGCUAUGGGGUCUCAUCACUAGCACCUGUUUUGAACUCUGCGUGUCAUCUGCUUGUCAGUUGUUCGUGCUUUGUCAUUGCUCAAACCUGGUGGAUUAGGUUUUAUUCAACCUUGUUCAUUCCCUAAAAUUAUGACCAACUCAUUAAGCCUGAAAUUUAAUCCUUUGUUUGUGCAGAGUUUUCUGCUGCAAUCAAGAUAUUCGAUAGAAAAUAAACAUACUACCCGCAUGAUUGUUACUGUUGUGCUAUUCUGAUAACUAGUUGCUGGGGCGCGCCUCCUAGGGCGGUACUGAGUGCACUGACAACACUUUCUUUUCAGAAAACUCUCCGCGAAUAGAAGGAUCAACCAUCUUUGACAGAGAAUCAAAGUCAUGAAGCUGACAAUCGGCCCAUCUCACAAAAUGUUGCUCAACACGCGGGCGAGAACUGCAUAUUUCAACAAAAAUGUAGGCACAUGAGGAAGUACAUUCACAUUUUUGUGAAGAUGUGUGAUCUAAAACAGUUACAGAGAAGGUCCUGACUAAGCACUGCGAAUUACAUCGAAUCACUCACCUGUCAUAUGGUUUACGGCCAGCGAGAAGUUCUAGCAUUACCACAACCAAAACUGUGAACAUCACUUCAAUACGGUGGAACGGUUUUGGUGUGGUUCUGUUGGAAGGAACGAGCAACAAAACAAAGGAAUGUUGAGGACUCUUGCCCAGGUUUGAUUUCUGCUCAUUCUUACAGUUUAGUUUCUCCACAUCUUUUAGGAUUCUUGCCUAGGUUUGAUGAUACCAUGAAAAUUUUGGCCGACUAAAUUUUAUUUUUAGCCGUGCACAAACUAUUUCAUGUAAUUUUUGUGCACAAAAUGGAUAUUGGGAGAAAAUGAUUAUUCUUCCUUUUACUAAUCACCCCUGUUUGAUCAUAGAUUAACGAAUUUCCCUUUUUUGUAGACGUAUAGCCAGCUACAAAAUGCUGAUGCAAAUGAUAUCCAUGGACCUUCACAAGCUCGUCCUAUAUUUUAUUUAUCAAGUUUGUAAUUGUUUUCAUUCUAGAAAAAGUUCAUCUUUGGCCGAAAUGCCAAACAGACUCAACUUUCAGAAUGUCCCAAUCUGGCGCCUCAACUUUCCGUUUGCUCUGCAAUCAACUAAAUUAUGCAAUGGUGCAAUCAAACAUAUUUGAGCCAUCCGAUGUGCAUCCUCUGGCAAUGACUCACGCACGGAGCUCCCACCUUUUUUUUUUGCAGGUGAAGCUCCCACCUCUGGUUGGAUACAUCUUUGCAAACACCACCCCGCGAUCAGCCUUCAUUUUUCUAAAACGCCCCUGGAAACAACGACCUCCCCCGAUCUUCUUCUCUCAAUAGAUGGAUCUCGAGAACACAUGGAGUACUCGUUCAUAUUGUUCGAAUGAACGCGUUCAUUUUCAAUGUCCAUUGGAAGUUGAGCUUCACACUAAGAGCAUGUACAGUGCGACGCUUAUAAGCCGACACUAGGAUCAAAAUGCUGCCCAACUUGCAGUUUUCUACUCCAAUCGAUGCUAAACCCCAUGUAAGUAUUUGGGGAUUCCCUUGCACUUUGAGAGCUUAAAAAGAGCUGACUUGCAACCUGUGGUAGACAAAUUGAUGAAUAGGAUUGCUGGCUGGAGGGGGAAAUUGUUGUCAAGUGGGGGUAGACUUGCUUUGAUCAAAGCAUGCUUAGCUUCUGUAUAUUUGCUUUCCUUUUGAAAUUCUCUAAGUGGGCUUUGGAGAUUAUUAACUCCCAAAUGGUAAACUGCAUGUUCAAUGAUUGUGAUGGGCACCACAAGGUCCAUUUAGCCAAUUGGCAGUCCCUGUGCCUAAGGAAGGAGUUUGGAGGUUUAGGAGUGCCAAAUGUACAGGACCUAAAUAUCUGUUUGAUAGGUUCCUGGAUGAAGAGGAUUUUGCAGCACGAGGACCGCUUGUGGAAACAAGUAGUUGAUGCCAAGUAUAAAAUACAUGAUCCUAAUGUUUUCUGUUGUAAGGAGGGUAACACUUCUUAUUUCUGGAAAGUUGUUAUUAAGUAUGGUUUUAGAUGGAAUGUUGGUAAGGGCAAUAGGAUUCGUUUCUGGGAGGCCACAUGGUUUGGUACUGCUCCUUUGGGACCUCUACUCUAUUUUGAAUGAACAAAAUGUGACUAUUAGAGAGGCUUGGGAUGGGACCCAACUUAGAUGCACCUUUAGAAGAACCUUCACCGAGCUUAUGUUGCAGCAGUGGAGUGAGUUAGAAGUGAUAGCUGCUAGCAUCACUUUUAGUGAUGAGCAGGACUCUGAUCUGGAAAUAUGAGAGCAAUGGAGUGUACUCCUCAAGCUCUUUGUACAAGAUAGUUAACAAUAGGGGAGUUCUUCCUGUUUUCUUGCCAGUAAUGUGAAAGAUAGUGGUUCCUCCCAGAAUUCAUAUUUUUCUUUGGCUGCUGGCCAAAACAAAUUAAUGACUAGGGAUAAUAUGGAAAAGGGAAAAAUGAAGAAACCCUUAGAAUGUGCCUUCUGCUCUGAGCAGGAAUCAGUGAGACGUCUGUUUUUUGAUUGUGUGGUAGCUAAGCACAUGUGGUUUGAUGUGGCUUUGCUGUUUCAAAUAUCUAUACAUGACUUUGAAUCUUUAGCUAGACACUGGAUUAGACAUAAGACGAUGGCUGUGUUUAAUUUGGUGCCAGCUGCAGUCCUGUGGGGACUGUGGAAAUGCUGCAAUGACAUUGUCUUUAACAAUGUUUUGUGGAUUAACAUUAAACAUGUAUGGGGGCAUGUGCUCAGAAAUAUCAAAGGCUGGAUGACCCUACUCGCUGAACCUGCAUGGGAGCAACUGGCCCUGGAGCUUGCAAAGAUCCUGGAGCUCAUACGGCGGCCUUUGCUGCUGCAAUAGAGGGGGACUGGCUUUGAUUGGUGCUCUCUACUGAGACCACGAGGGUUAACAUGGCGGCGCCUGGGCCAGAUGGUGAUGCGGUGCUCUUGGAGACAGAACACCCAAUCUACUUGCUGUGAUGUUUGGCAAAUUUGCCUGUGAGCUGGUGAUGAAGAUCCCGGGAGUUGUCCUGAUCCUGAUGUAGUUGUAGUUGUUUUAAUCUGUAAGAUCCGGCAGCUGUUUACCUGGCCUGGAAAAGACUUCCGUUUGGUUGUCUUUUUUUAGCUCCUGUAGUUUCGUUUAUUCGAACUGUUACAGACUUCUAUAAACCUGGAGGCGAGGGCUUCGUCUAUUAAUAGAUGGGGCUGGGGAGAGUCUCCCUGUGUUUCUAAAAACAAUAGGAUAGACGUAUAGUGAUUGAUUGGUUGACCAGAAGAGUUAGCAUCCAAUGCUAUAAUAGCACUGCUGAGAUUUUAAAGUACCGUAGUCAUGUUUUUACAAAAUAUAAUGAUCAAAUUAAAACCGGAAGACCAUUCGAUGUCCAAAAUGACAUGCUUUUGGACCCAAAUUGUUUACUCCUUCCUAUAGGAAUUCUCAGUUGUUAUUGGUGAUAUGCUCCUUCCUAUUCUCCUUUUAUUUUUCUAAACAGAUUUAAACAAUUUCUGGAGACGCAUGCAAGCGCAAGGUGUCCACGCGUCGCGCUUGGGUAUCACUCCAUCAGAAGGCAUUUUCUAAUACUCAAGUUCAUACAUGGUAUAAUUUUUGUGGUACCGUAACAAUGCGCAAGGCCUUCACUAGUUUUUAAACAUAAUCUCAAAAUUUCUUACAGCAAUGAACGGGCAUGACAUACUACUCGCUUUUAACAUGCUAAUUUACUAGGACAUUUGACAUCAAGCACCUAGGACUUCAGGUUUUCUAAUUGUCGGGGGCAGAGAAUAUCAGUAGGGCAAAGCGGAGUUGAGCGCAUGAUUACAGGAUCAUUAAUAGGUGAUUCCAUAGUCCACGUACAUAGCUAUAAGAAUGUAAUAAAAUGAUUGCAAAUACAUGCGCACCUCAAUUAUGCCUCGCUCUCGUCCAGUGGGCAAGACGCAAUCAGGAAAUAGAUAGAGAGUUUAAUCCGAUAGCUUCAACUAUGUCCCUCUGUAGAGAAAAAACUGGGAGAGCGAUGACAUCCUGUCUACAAUCAUGACCAACCUGUGAUAGCAGAGAAGAUUGUUUGUUAACUAAUAAGCUAAGCUAGUGGAAGAUAGAAAAUUGACAGAAAGAAACGAUGAACAUAUAGGCCAAAGGAUGAAUUACUAUAUUAUCCAAAGGAUGAUAGAUAACACAUUUUUAAGAUUUAUUAAUGAAUUCAACUUCAGACAUAAAUAAUUUUGCCACACUAUGAUUAGCUAGUCGUGGCAUAAAUUAUUAUGAUACGUUGCCAUUUUACAUAUAGGCCACAUGUUAAAAACAUGGUGGAAAGAUGGUAAACUCUUAAACUUUACCAACUACCAUGUGUCUGUGUCAAAUGAAUGACUAGAAUCUAGCGCAAGUAAAUCAAAGUGAGAACAACCCGUGUCUGCAGCAGCACAGAAUUGUUGCCAUGCAUCAAAAGUAAGAAUGACCCCAAGCCUCUGCCAUCGUCAUCUUUUGAAAAUAUUAACAGUAUAGUCCUGAUGCUCCUUGUAGUAGGACUUAACAACUUUAUAUCAUUGAUGAAAUUAACAAAAAUACAGCAAGCUUUAGUGAAACAGCACAGACCUACUAUGACUAAGUUGCAGUAUAAGACGAUAACGCUGUUUUCUUUACUGAAAAGCAUCAAACUGGAAGGGCCACUGACAAAACAUAUAUAACUUUGUGUUCAAACGCAACAUGCUUACUGCAGGUCUGAAAUAAUAUAUACUUCUUCAUAUACACAAUGAUAUUACAAACUUAAUUGUUCGAUCUAGUUAUCAACAGCAGUAACUGCAUGAAUGAUGUUAGUAAUUAAUUGUCCUGAAGAGCUAUAUAAUUAUUGUCUUAGAUAAUAUUGCAGCACAAAGAAGGAGGGGAAACUUGAGCAUGAUUCAUAAGCAAAGCACAAGCCCUGGAUAAAAAACAAUUGAGGUAUAAUAUCAAACACAUAACCCGAGUUGCACUUUGUUAAUCUGGCUGCCUCUCCCAAGCUUAUGAUAUUUUGGUGCACCAACCUUUACAAAGUACUCCCUCCGUCCCAUAAUUCUUGUCGAAAUCUUACAUGUAUCUAGACGCUUUUUAGGAAUAGAUACAUCCAUUUUUGGACAAAUUCGAGACAAGAAUUAUGGAACGGAGGGGGUACAUUUUUAGGAUAAAGAUAAAACAGUACUUCUUUGCAUUGGAUAAUGCGGCAUCAUAAUUUAAAUCCUAUAAGACAAGGAAUCGAGCGAGCAAAAUUACACGCUCUAAAGUCACAAAUUAAAGAUAAAAGAGUACCUGUUUGCGUUGGAACCUUUACUAAGAAGGACUGGAAGUCAUCAUAAUAUUAAAAUGUUAGUUAAAAAUCACAGUACGAGUGGCGACGUAGAUCUUCCAUUCUCUUUGAAACCUGCAAUUGAAACUAAGUUUAGGUAAACAAACAUAAAUAUAGAUAUUCUAGAGUAAAUAAUAAAAUUCUGAGCAAUUGUCUUACUCGUCAACAUUGAUCUUCUUAUGCUUAAACAUCAACUUUAUCAUUCGAGGCAACCGAUUUUCGUCUUGCACCGCCGCUAACAUUGCCAAUUCUAACUUGAAUUGCUUCAAACUCUGUUUUUGGUUCAACUACAAGGUAUAUAAGCAUAGUGGCGAAGUUAGAGAACUAGGUCAUUGGUUCGAUAUAGCAGCUCCGCCACUGUACAAGCAUAUAAAUAUAUUUUUAUGCAUAAAUUGAUGCUGCUGAAUAUAAUCAUCUGAUGAACUUACUUCUGUAUGGUCCAUGCCAUGAUGGAUCACCAUCCGGUGGUACUUAUUUGCAUCUCUAACAUUGUUCAAAAAGGGUUGCGGCUUUUUGGGGUCCGAGGGGUCCACAUCCAAACGGAUACGGCCAAACCAAAAAACUUUAUCCAACGCUUCAUGUGUUUGGUUAUUCCAAUCUGGUGCCAUAAAAACAUCUGUCCAUGGGGGUGGGGGCCCCAUGGCCUGAGAAUGCAGCACCGGAUGGAAGGUAUCGUAAAGAACUUUUCUCCAAGAAUGCUCUCUAUGAAGUUUCUGGUUCUUAAUCUCGUAAUACCACUCAACCUCCAGAUUUGAACUGGCGAGAUAGUGCAUGAGGAAAGGGUGGUGAAGAACAGUAACAACCCAUUCAUCGUAUUCCUCUUUGGUUGGAGGGACUUGGCCAGCUGCUGGGAUUGAGUUAACUUGAGCUAUGGAAUUAACCUCCAGAGACAUGUUUUCUAUUUCGUCCACGAAGUUCUGGCAGAAUACUGGUUUAUAGAUCUUGUUUAACUUUGCAGACCCCGGAGAUGGGGGGUUGUGAAGAAAUUGUUUUGGCGCCGAGAAAUGACACACUGGAAUGAGCUUAUGUACGACUGCCAGCAAAUCAUUCAGCCCAGAUGACAUGUCAUAUGCUGAGGGAGGUUUGCAUAACCUAAACUCAGUUAAUGGGGUAAUUUCCCAAUGCUUGUUUACCUUCAUGGAGUUGAUGACUUCCCAGUCCUUAAUUGACCACUCUCCGUUCCAGCAAUGACCAUUCUUAUGGCUGUCCGUGAGAUACUUGAUGAUAAAACUGUAUGUGUGUCGUCCUUUUUCCUCCAGGUUGGCAACCUUCCACGUAUAGGGCUUCACAAUUGUACCUUGGUAUUUGCCUACCAAGUUUACAUCUAUCAUUUUACUGACCUUACUCUGCAAAAAUGCAUCCAAUGGGCAUAUGCUUUGGGGCAUCCCUUCCACUGCGAAAACCGUAUCUUGGGCUAAUUUCUCCCUCAGCUGUUGUUCGGUGUAUCUUUUUUCUCUCAAAUUAAGAUCACUGAACGGUUGUAGGAAGAAUCUUCUCACGGCUGACUUCAAAUAAAGACCCAAACUGUCAAGGAACAAAGUAAUUAGAGCUAAUGUCAAAUUAGGUAAAAUUACAUUGCAAAGAAGAGCAUUCGGCUACAUAAGAAAGAAACCACAGCUAAGCUCAUAUUAAGUAAAGAGCCAACAUACUGCAUUGACUUUUAUCUCUUUAAGUAAAGAGCCAACAUGCUGCAUUGACUUUUAUGUCUUUAAAUUACAUGAUAUCUCUUCAGUUUGUUCUGUGAGGAUUGAAUCCUCAGUUUCAACAGAAACUAAGGGUCAUCCGAUUCUUUCCAAUCAUUAUAAUGCAAAGGCCUAUAACCAUAUUGUACUCUAUUUCAUACAAAUUUACCUAUUUACAUGUUUUGCAAAGGGGUUUUGUUGCAAAAGAGUUACCUGUGACGUUGCUGACUGUUGCAGUUGCAGAUGGUGUACGCCAGGCUCUUGUCGUUUCUUUUGAGGUCGACAAAUUUUAUCACCAGACGAAAUGAUCCGUAUUUCCAUAACUGUGAAGGCACAUCGCAGCAGUAUCUGAAAUAAGAAAGUCAAUUGGGAUUGGAAAUGGUAACUGAUGACCAAAAUUUGAAUUAAAUAUAAGAAUAGAGGAACUCACCUCUCCAUGUAGCUCAGGAAGCCGUUAGCAGUUGGGAGAUGUUGACUCGUUUGCGCUGUACUCAAAUACGACGGCGGGCUGGAAGAUGGAGGCGUUAAGAAGAGCGGUGGUGGCGAGGGCUGCGGUGAGGAUGCCGGGCUUUGCACAUGUCCAGCCGCGGGGAUGGGGGUGGUGUUUGCUGGCGCUGCCGUUGAGGGCUGCGGUGGGGAUGCCGGGCUUUGCACAUGUCCAGCGGCGGGGAUGGGGGUGGUGUUUGCUGGCGCUGCUGUUGAGGGCUGCGGUGGGGAUGCCGGGCUUUGCACAUGCCCAGUGGCGGGGGUGGGGGUGUUUGCUGGCGCUGCUGUUGAUAAGAUGAACCCCGGCGACCCCUGUCUUGGCGAUGUGUUCAGAGCAGUGAUAGUACAAGCAAACGAACCAAACAUGACCUCAGAAACCGCGGAACUUGAAGUCGUCGCGGGAACCGCCGGCUCCAGCGCUGUGUCCCCGCCGACAUUGGCAGCUUGCGGCGGCGUGCCGGUGUCCUCACCCUCACCCGGCGUCCCUCUCCCCCCACUCCCAGCGCCACGACCCGGCUGCGUCCCUCUCCCACCGCCACGCGAACCUCUGUUGCCUCUCCCCUUCGCCCUCUUGCUCCCUGCUCUCCCCUUCAUCGUCGGAUUCGUUGGCGCCGCCGCAGUGCGCGCUAGGGUUCACGCUCGCAAUGAUCGAUGAGGACAACAAGGCCCGUGAGUGAAACUAGAAGCGGCAGCGUUUGUUGACCCCACAGGAGACUCCUGUCCUAUGUACGUGGGGAGAGAGAGAUGGGAACGAGGGGAGACAGUCUUUUUAUUUAUUUUGAGGGAAUCCGGUCGCUGGGUCUCGAACAAGGCCGUACGUGCGAGGGGCUGCGUUGGAGGCCGACGGUCUUUUUCAUUCGCAAGAAGUCCAUGUUUCAUCCCAAAAUAUAUCUCACGGACACAUAACCUACUCAUUAGAAAACCGUUUAUUUUUCAUUCUAAAAUCUUUAAUACCGGAUAAAUCACCCCAGAUAGCGGUUUUCGGGCUGACGUGACAUAUUUAGAAUGGUUUUGCGUGUGAUUAUACAAAGUUGACAAUUUUUGACCGCUGACGUGGCUGCCGCGUUGUAGUCGCCCCCCUUGAUCUCCUCAACCUUCCAACUCCCGGUCACGGCACAAGCCCCGGUCCGUCCUCGUCGUCUCCGCCGACCAGAGAAGGCUUUCCCGGCCGUGAUUCGCAGAGGAGCGUCGUCGUAGGAAGCCGUCAACGAGCUCCUCUUCUCCGCCGCGCGCAGGUCCCCUACAGCAGUGCCGCCUGUCACGCGCGUGUGUGCUGCGACCCUGCCGCCGUGUGUGCGGCCACGUGCGCCAGAUCCCAUCCGUCAGCCUGCGAGAGCUGCAAGCGCCAAGUCGCCCAGAUAUGCGUCGUCGUUGUUGAUGUCGCUCAGUUCCGCACCCAGGAGAUAGAGGCUGUCAUCGCCGACGGCGACCAAGAUAGCUCCGAAACUUGUAUGUAUGUGCUGAUGAAGAUCAACUAGGCCAAGUCAGCGGUAAAAAAAGUCAACUUUGCCUUAAUCACGCGCUAAACCGCUUUAAAUGUGCUAUGUCAGCUCAAAAACCAGUGGAGUUAUUUAUUAGUAUUAAUUUCAGGUUAAAAUCAAACGGUUUUCGGUUAUGCGUUCGGAGUUCAAGAAUCGGGCCGCUGGGCCUCGUUCUCUCAGACACUGUUUGAGCCUAUGCGAGGGGGCAGCGCUGCUGUGUUUCUUUUAACCUAAAUGCUUCAAAGUGCUACUUUCUGUCGUCGUCGGGUGCACACGUCUCAGAGCCGUCCGAUGCAUCGCGGGAUCAGUCGACGGCGCGAUACCGUAGCGCCUCUUUUCGGACAACCAUUAGACGCAGCAUUUUCAACAUUUUUCCCCACCCUCUUUUCCCCUUUUUUCUCCCCCCGCACAGUGGUUCUUCUAGUGGCGAUUUCGUUCGGCGGCCGCGAGCGGCGCCGCUCCGCUGGACUAGGAUAUUGGGAGAAAAUGAUUUUGGCCGACUAAAUUUUAUUUUUAGCCGUGCACAAACUAUUUCAUGUAAUUUUUGUGCACAAAAUGGAUAUUGGGAGAAAAUGAUUAUUCUUCCUUUUACUAAUCACCCCUGUUUGAUCGUAGCUUAACGAAUUUCCCUUUUUUGUAGACGUAUAGCCAGCUACAAAAUGCUGAUGCAAAUGAUAUCCAUGGACCUUCACAAGCUCGUCCUAUAUUUUAUUUAUCAAGUUUGUAAUUGUUUUCAUUUUGGAAAAAGUUCAUCUUUGGCCGAAAUGCCAAACAGACUCAACUUUCAGAAUGUCCCAAUCUGGCCCCUCAACUUUCCGUUUGCUCUGCAAUCAACUAAAUUAUGCAAUGGUGCAAUCAAACAUAUUUGAGCCAUCCAAUGUGCAUCCUCUGGCAAUGACUCACGCACGGAGCUCCCACCUUUUUUUUUUGCAGGUGAAGCUCCCACCUCUCGUUGGAUACAUCUUUGCAAACACCACCCCGCGAUCAGCCUUCAUUUUUCUAAAACGCCCCUGGAAACAACGACCUCCCCCGAUCUUCUUCUCUCAAUAGAUGGAUCUCGAGAACACAUGGAGUACUCGUUCAUAUUGUUCGAAUGAACGCGUUCAUUUUCAAUGUCCAUUGGAAGUUGAGCUUCACACUAAGAGCAUGUACAGUGCGACGCUUAUAAGCCGACACUAGGAUCAAAAUCCUGUCCAACUUGCAGUUUUCUACUCCAAUCGAUGCUAAAUGAGUCGCCCAACUCUAUCUCACUUUUUGGCUCACGACGUGAAAAUCGGAGGCAUCUGGAUUUAGCGCCCAGCACUGCAGGGUGGGGCUCUUAGCUGGUUUUUAAUUUCCCGGUUUAGAAGUGCUUCUGUGCUUUGCUAAAAAAAUUGCACGACUUUUAAAGCAAAUGGAAGAGUCAAAUCCUUCCGUCUAUGAUAGUCCAAAUACGUGUAACCCUAAAGCCCACAAAGUCCGGCGGUUAACCCUUUAUCAUGAUGCCCAGUUGGCAGUUGCUCGCGUCCUUUCGUUCUUCUCCACGACCACCUCUACUCGGGCCUCUUCUUUCUCCAUGGCUGCCUUUUUGAGUCCACGGUGGAUCGGACUUAGGGGAGUCAAUACGAGAGAUGGUUCCAGACUAGGGUGCUCUGCCGCUCUGGCACUCUUUUGUCGAUGCACACAUAGGUUGGGUCAACGGAGAUCUGCCCCACGCACGAGCGACGGCGAUCCGCACCAGGAGCUUGACGCGGUCGAGGGCAACGUCCUGACAGGAGGCUUCUCUGUGAGGAAAACGGUGUCAGCGUGUGGGCAAGCUCGGACACUGGAUACGGGCUGGAUCUGAAGGCCGUGUUCUAGCAAUUUGCAUUACCGUUAAGUACUAACACUUCUUUGGGAUUCAUGCUGAAUUUUUUUCCAGCAAAGUAGAGAAGCACUUCUCUUAUUUUUCUCAUUCUAAGCUGCUAAAUAAGCACCGACCAUUGGACAUGCUCUAAACGGGUUCCCACAAGUUGCCACGUGCAAGCUCACUGCCAACUGAGAUCACGAAAGGGGGCGCGGCUUGCCUGCGGCCCUCGCGUGCGACCAUCCGUGUGACCCGACGCAGCCGUUCUUAUCAAUCUAACAACUCCCGCAGAUUUCCUCGUCCCGCAUCCCAUUUGGAGUAGUAGGAAAAAAAAACAGCGUAUUUCAUCUACUUCCCGUACAUACACGUGCCCGUACUUUUUUUAUCCAGAUGUCUUAGAGGAAGAAACAGGAAGACAUACGGUCAGGACCAGGUGGCAGGAGGCCUAUAGUGGACCGUGGAACUCGUUGUCCAGGACGUUGGACUCGAGGUCUUUGAACGUGUUUUGCCCAAUUGCCCGGGUCCAGCGUCCUCGAACCGGAGGAACUCGUCCCGCCCGCGGCAGCGUCACGUACAGUCGACCACAGCACCGAUUCCCAAUGAAUGCGGAUUCGAUAUGCAAACCGCAAAAAGGCCUAGCAAACGAGUCAACACAAGCGCGGGCGAUUGUUGCGCCGGACUACAACAAGCACCUUAGAAGAAGCAAGUGUGCAAUAAAUAUUCACCUGAGAAACUGGUUACAGAUUUCCAGGUGUCAAUCUUUCAUGGUUCCAGACGGAUCAAGCAAUCGAGUCAUGUCAUGACUUUGCCGAUCCUUGGGUUCCGUUCCGAAAUAAUUGGUGCCAGUAGUUUUGCAAAAACACCCUUGAUGUUUUCUGAAAUCAACCUGCAGGACACACCUUCAACUGAAGGUGGACCACAGCUUGAUUUCAGAAAACAGGAUUUUUUUUAGCAAAAGUUCCGAUAGAACGUGGACUGCGAACCAAUUUCGGGAAACAGCAGGGGUGUUUUUGUAAAACAACCGGGACCAAUCAAUUUGGUACCGAGGGAGCAGCAGUAGGCUAGCAACAGCAUCCCCACCACUAGGUCCGCUACUAAUCAAAAACAUUUCUCAACAAGUGAACCUACAGGGCCAUAGCCUUGCUGAAAUAUCUCUAACAAACCACCAUUCUAUCUGAUUCCUACUCAGAUCAAGUACUUGUGAUUGUGACCACCUGGGAUGAAUGAAACAUAAAGGAAGCCAACAAGACACCAAUUAGCUCUAUCGGUAGAAAAGGAAUGUUUCGUAUAAGCUAUAUAUCUUGAGGAAUAUGGAAUGCGCAAAAUAAAUGCCACGGAGCUUGUUGACUUUAUUUUAUUUUUACAUAAUGGAAAAGGAUUCAUUACCAUAGUUUCCAACUUUCCAUAAGAAACAAGCACUGCUAAAUGCUGAUUAACAUGUCAGUACUAACCCACCGUGGUAAAAGCAGUUGUCGUAGCCCAACUUCAACACUAUAUACUAAUAACACAUAAUAAUAGUAUAGUCUGUGCCCAGAGCUAGUUGAGGGAGGGAUUGUCAGCCUGCAAUAUGCAGAUGAUACUUUUUUUUCCCAGAAUGAAUUCGCCCGACACGACGAAUCCCGCCCCCCAUGUCUUUCUUUCUCAUUGAAUGAACCACUGCAUGGGACGCCCUAUUCCUAUGAAUUCAAUGAUUUAAGGGCCCUUGGGGGAAACUUCGGAAAGAAAGCCUACUGGUUGGUCUGGUUGUCCCCCCGGCGGUGCCCGGGCGGUCCUCGGUUCAAUCUUGCCGAUUCUACCUAGACAUGGCUCAAAACGAAGGGGUAAGACCAAGUGUUCUUAAAACAAAACUCCCAGUGCACACUCCGGAGCACGGUCUUCCGCUUUUUGUUGCAGAUGGCACUAGGAAAGCCACCAACCUUAAGUGGAUCCUCACCUGUUUUGAGCAGUCAUCGGGGACGAGAAUAAACUAUCACAAGAGUGAGCUCAUUGCAGUUGGCAUGGAAGAUGUGGAGAUUAGACCUUUUACUGACAUUUUCCAAUGAGUAGAGGGGCAUUUCCCCAGUAAGUAUUUGGGGAUUCCCUUGCACUUUGAGAGCUUAAAAAGAGCUGAUUUGCGACCUGUGGUAGACAAAUUGAUGAAUAUGAUUGCUGGCUGGAGGGGGAAAUUGUUGUCAAGUGGGGUAGACUUGCUUUGAUCAAAACUGAACAAAUCCAACGUGCAACAUGAUAUGAAUCCGUAUCUAACACUAACAUCACCCGAGAUGAAAAAUCAAACUCGGUUUACGACCUAGUGAAUACGACUAGACUACAAACUAAACUGUAUACUUACAUUGCGGAUCCAGCCCCACCGGUCAGCGACUCGCUGGUCGGCUCUGCUCCUCGACGAACGCUUCCUCAGGUCAGCCCUGCACAGGCCAUCGGGUACCACGACACAUACGAUGGAUGGGUCUUGGGUUCUUGGCAAACUGCGCUGAGGGCCACCGAGGCCAGAGCAGGGGCCCGACCAAUUUUCCUAGCCACCCCCCGCCUGUGGCCCAUUUUCUCACGGAGAGUCCCCAAUCCUCACUUUCGCUCUCCAUAGGGGGGAACCCGGCCGGACUGCCGGCGCAAAUCCGAUCUCGAUUCCAGUUCCGAUUCCUUCCAAACCCCCCCACAAAAAUCAAAUCGAGUCUAGGCUGUAGAGGAACUUGAGAUGAAGGAUCUCAAGUUCCGAUUCCUUCCGCCGCAUUACGACUCCGGCGACGCAAGGCCAUGCUUUUCGCUGCUAGAAAAGCACGCCUACCUCGUCCGCCGCCAAAACGCCACAACCGCCGCCUGCGACCUCGACAGCGGACGGAUCCAGGCCACCUUCUGCGCCGCCCACCCGCCACGCGCAUCCUACUUGUGCAUCCAUGCCACCGGCUUGGGUCGCACUAAGCUCCGCGCCGAGCCCCAGAUCUUGGCCACGGAGGGGCCCCUCGCCGUCAUCCGCGUCGUCGUCAACCGUCGCAAGUCGUUCGUGGAGGUGGAGUACUUCGUCUACCACGCCGGCAGCAGCUCCUCCGAGGGACGCCGGCCGCCGUCGCUCAAGCGCAUCCCGAACCCCGCACCCUACUUUUUCUUCAACGAAAAUACGGUUGCCAUCGUGCGCCACUGCCCUCGUCAAGCCAGCACCCGGCGUCGCCCCGGCGGCCUCAGUGCCUGCGCCCUGCGCCCCAACCGACGAGACAGCAAGGAGGAGGAGGAUCAUGACUGCGGCGACUGCAACUACAUCAUCGCGGCACUCCGCAACGACGGGUCCAACACCAGGGCACCCUACCAGCUCUGCCGGUACCACUCCAAGACUGAAACUUGGAGCCCUCCCGAGCCAAUGGAAACCGAGUGGGAGCACGGACCUUACCCUUCCGGUUCCUCCUGCAAGGCCAUUACCAUCGGAGGAGAGCAAGGCACAGUGGCCUGGGUCGCUCUCAACAAGGGCGGCAGGGGUAUCAUCUUUUGCGACGUGCUCACAAUAACAGACAGCAGCCCCCGGCCUCCGGUGCUUCGCUGCCUGGACAUGCCGCCGAAAAUCAAGACUUUCAGUGGACGUUCAUAUUAUGUCCGGGAGAUUGACCUCGUCGACGGCUUCAUCGUCUACAUCGAGUUGCAGAUACGUGACCUUGCGCCAGACACACCUACAGAUGAAUAUGUUUGGAUGGCCAGCACAUGGAAAUUCAAGAUCGACUCAUCUUUGCCGUUUUCAUCUAUCCAAUGGCAGCGGGGAUGCAAGUUAGGCUCCUCUGAGGUCAACAAAUCCAUGCGUGAUAAGCUUAAACUUCGCGAUGCCGAAACAAUCUGCAAGAUAGGCCUGCCCGUCCUG
rnacentral:lncRNA from 1 species